rnacentral:rRNA from 1 species
GGGGGUAAGGAUCUCAGAUAGGUGAACCUGCGGAGGGAUCAUUA